UUCUCCAGUGUUCUAAUCAGACCUUGUGGAAUGCCUCGGAUUGCUCUGCACUGGUACAGCAAGUAAUAAAGGAACAGCACUGCGUAAAGACGACGCCAACAUUUGCAGAAUACCAAAUGACUGGGUUACCCAGGAGCUGGACCUGAACCUGCUGAGAUGUACAAAUAAGCUACAGAUCGCCCUGUAAUGGGAGUGAAUGGACUGGAUGUUGCCGGAUUGAGACCUUCUGACUUGGUUAUUCCAUUCACUAUUAAUAAAGGAGAGAUCACAGGAGAGGUCCGUAUGCCUUCUGGGAAAGUAGCAAAGCCGGAUAUCACCAACUACAAGGAUGGGACAGUGACGGUUAGAUACGUUCCCACAGAAGCUGGGCUCCACGAGAUGGAUAGAAAGUAUAACGGCAUCCAUA